rnacentral:rRNA from 1 species
AUUGAACGCUGGCGGCAUGCCUUACACAUGCAAGUCGAACGGCAGCGCGGGGCAACCUGGCGGCGAGUGGCGAACGGGUGAGUAAUAUAUCGGAACAUACCCUAGAGUGGGGAUAACGUAGCGAAAGUUACGCUAAUACCGCAUACGCACUAAGGUGGAAAGUGGGGGAUCUUCGGACCUCAUGCUCAUGGAGUGGCCGAUAUCUGAUUAGCUAGUUGGUGAGGUAAAGGCUCACCAAGGCGACGAUCAGUAGCUGGUUUGAGAGAACGACCAGCCACACUGGAACUGAGGCACGGUCCAGACUCCUACGGAGGCAGCAGUGGGGAAUUUUGGACAAUGGGGGCAACCCUGAUCCAGCAAUGCCGCGUGAGUGAAGAAGGCCUGGUGUAAGACUCUUUGUCUAGGAGAAC